CUCAAAAUUACUUGAGAAAAUGUUGUUCAUCACUAAGCAAUUGAUUUCCUUCACUCUACUUCUUUUUGUCAUCUUCCCUUCUAAUGAAUGUGUCAAAGGAAAUAACAACUUGAGUCCUAUGAGUAAAAAGAUAGAAUUAGAUAAGAAUUGUACAACAACUCUUGGUCCAUGUACCUCAAUAUGCAAUGCAAGAUGUUGCCAUAGGUUAUGUGACUUAUACCUUGGUAGUAGAACACACCCUGCAUUGGGAAUUUGCAAGUAUUAUAGUAGUCCCAAAUAUAAGACUUGUGUUUGUACUUAUGAUUGUACAUCCAAAUGAUGUCAAUUGGUUUCAUUUGAUUCAAAAGAAAUAUUAAUUACCCUUGUUUGAAUGUCCACAUUGUUAUGUAUCGCUUUAUAACGUAUCGCAUUGUACUGUGUGUACUGAUGAAUAACAUAUUUUAAAGAAGUGUCUUGUUUAA